rnacentral:rRNA from 1 species
GUCCACGCCCUAAACGAUGAAUGCCAGACGUCGGGCAGCAUGCUGUUCGGUGUCACACCUAACGGAUUAAGCAUUCCGCCUGGGGAGUACGGCCGCAAAGGUUAAAACUCAAAGGAAUUGACGGGGCCGCACAAGCGGUGGAGCAUGUGGUUUAAUUCGAAGCAACGCGCAGAACCUUACCAACCCUUGACAUGGGUAUCGCGGGACCGGAGACGGUCCUUUCAGUUCGGCUGGAUACCACACAGGUGCUGCAUGGCUGUCGU